UUUCUGAUCAAAUGGCAAGCUACAGUUCAGCUUUACGGAAGUCCAUCCGCUGGUACAAAAAACUGGCAAUUGAAGUACUGUUGGGUACUUCAAUGGUAAAUGCUCACAUCAUUUACAAGGAUAUUGAACAAAGCAACAUUCCAAUAAACGAUUUUCGCUUAUUGGUAACUGAAGACUUGUUGAAAUUCGAAGAUAAACGCGAUGUUGCGCAAACUCGUCAGCCAAGACAUCAAAUUCUUAAAA